rnacentral:tRNA from 1 species
GCCUCUGUGGCUUAAAGCGGUAUAGCAGCUGACUUGUAAUCAGCAGAUCGGGGGUUCAAGUCCCUCCAGAGGCU